AUAGUUGUGGGAAAAAAGAUCUCGAGAAACAUAAACUGACAAAAUCUUAGUGGAAGUAGCAUCUAUUUAAGGUGCUAUCUAGUUUUUCUGUCCUUAUAGUAGGGGCACAAAAGCUUUCCGUGAUUCUAUCAGUUUGACUAAUAUCAGCAACAACAAUAUCAACAACACACCCGGUGUAGUCCCACGGGUGUGGGGUCGAUAUUGUGUAUACAGAUUUUUCCCGUAUCUUGGGAGGUAGAAAGACUGUUUCCGAUAGACCCUCGGCUCGAGAAAAUGCCAGAGUGGAGAAACCAAGACAAAAAUUACACAAGGCAUGACAAAGCAUACUGAAAAGGGAACAAUAACUACAACAAAAUAAUACGAUAAAUGAACUACAACGGACAAUAUAUAGCAGUAGAAAUCAAAGGAACAAAGGCCUACAGGAGUAAUACUACAGCUACUAGUAUGUGAGGAUAAACGAGACUACACUCAGCUACCUACCAACCUUCCAUGCU
rnacentral:lncRNA from 1 species